rnacentral:rRNA from 1 species
CUGCCUGAUGGAGGGGGAUAACUACUGGAAACGGUAGCUAAUACCGCAUAACGUCUUCGGACCAAAGUGGGGGACCUUCGGGCCUCAUGCCAUCAGAUGUGCCCAGAUGGGAUUAGCUAGUAGGUGGGGUAAAGGCUCACCUAGGCGACGAUCCCUAGCUGGUCUGAGAGGAUGACCAGCCACACUGGAACUGAGACACGGUCCAGACUCCUACGGGAGGCAGCAGUGGGGAAUAUUGCACAAUGGGCGCAAGCCUGAUGCAGCCAUGCCGCGUGUAUGAAGAAGGCCUUCGGGUUGUAAAGUACUUUCAGCGAGGAGGAAGGUGUUGUGGUUAAUAACCGCAGCAAUUGACGUUACCGCAGAAGAAGCACCGGCUAACUCCGUGCCAGCAGCCGCGGUAAUACGGAGGGUGCAAGCGUUAAUCGGAAUUACUGGGCGUAAAGCGCACGCAGGCGGUUUGUUAAGUCAGAUGUGAAAUCCCCGGGCUCAACCUGGGAACUGCAUUUGAAACUGGCAAGCUUGAGUCUCGUAGAGGGGGGUAGAAUUCCAGGUGUAGCGGUGAAAUGCGUAGAGAUCUGGAGGAAUACCGGUGGCGAAGGCGG